rnacentral:lncRNA from 10 species
UUGCAUCCUGGCCAUUCUGACUGAAGCAUCUGUGGCUCAAAUGGCCCCAAGUACAGCUCAGAUCACUGCUCUGGAGGCCCAGAUGGCUACAAGCCUGUACAGAAUGUUAUGACACUGUAUACUGGAGGCAACUCUAACACAAUGGAUCUAUUGCUUUCAAUUUAUAAGUUUGAUCAACUGCUGCCAAAAGGAGAGUUUUAUCUUCAGAUAAAAAUGAUUGAAUAUGAUGGUUAAAGAUUUCUUUUAUUAUAAAACUCGCUAUUUUUGAAACAGACCCUUUAUCAGGAAAAGCAGUGCUUGUGCAUUCUUCCAAAAGUAUUCUGAUAAGUUUCUCACAUACAACAUUGAGAAGAAAAACUGAUUUUGAGGAGAGCUGUAGGUUAUUGUACAUGAAUCACUCCUACUAAGAGAUCCUGAAAGAGGUCAUCAAAGCCACCAGAAACUAUUCCUGGACAGAGGAGGUUUUAUAGGUGUGGUUGGUCUCCUUACUGACGUGUCAACUACAAAUGCACAGGGUUCUGCCUGAAAUGUUUUAGUUGUUGCAGAUGUGUAGCUUCUAUAUGUAAAGUCUUCACUGCACGUGCUACAGAAACUUGAACUAUCUGAAGAGAGGAUGGAGUCAUCAGAUACUGGGAACAAGAAGACUAAGCAAUAAGUGAGAAAAGAAAUGAUGGAAUAGAUGUGAGGCUUCCACAGCAAACUCCUGUAAAACCUGCAGUUAAACCUGAGCAAGAGGAAUGUGACAUAUGUGUCUUUGCUCUUUAUUUGGAUCUGUGUGUAUGCUCUUGGAGCAGUGGCGAAGAAGCUCCAGGGUAAUCUAAAAACCAAAAUAAAUGCCUUGAGAUCUUUUCUGGGAAUGAAAAAAUACAAAGACAAGCUAAGAAGCUGGAGCAGGAAAUUGACUUCAAACUCUGCUUGGAGAAUCACCAGCUGCAAAACUGUAUGGGGCAAAUUUCUCAUAAGAGUAUAGAGGAUGUGACACUGUACAGAGUUCACACUCAUGACUCAAUGAUGAAAUGGAAACCAGGAAGACCUGAUUAUGCAUGUCUGUGAAACUCACCCAUGCCAUCUGGAAAGGAAAAAGUUAAGUUGCAUUUCUGCAAUACAUUCUCUCCCUUCCCUGAGCUGCUCCUGGAAUAUAAAGAAAGCAAGUGAGUUGAACUAAUCCUCUUAUAAACAUACUAAUGAUAAAUCUCCCAGUAAAACAACAACAAUAACAAUAAAGGUCUUCUGCUAACAAAAGAGUCUUUUCCUAUGUGAAGUUUUAGUAGAAUGUGCUUAAUUGUCUAGAAUUAUUUAUAGUAAGCAAACAGAAGUAUAUGGACUUACGCAUAAUGGCUCCUUGGAAAAUGUUAUAUUAUAUAUGUAACUCUUUCUGUAGAAAAUAUCUGUCUCCUUUCAUGAAAGUGAG